rnacentral:lncRNA from 13 species
GCUCAGAACUUCAGGGGGCAGCUGGGGGUGGUGGGUGGCGUCUGUGGCUCCAGGGCCCUCGAGAUGCAGCUGGUACGUGCCUGUUCCUCAGUGCCCUGCUCCAGAUCUCGGCUCAGAUGGGCACAACGGGAGCCUUGGGGCAGGCUGGGCUGCGGUGGGUGACCAGCGUCCGCAGCACCGCCAGCCUGGAUGGAGGGAUCCAGCUGCAGAAGGGCCAGGACCUCAAGGUGCAUCUGAACACGCCCGAGGAGGCUGUGGAGCUGCUCAGCUUCAGCUCUCAGCUGUACGUCGUUACCAGGGAUGGCGUGAGGAGCCUUAGACACAUCCCUGUCCCUUCUGAGGCCCAGUCCUGUACUGGUGAGGAAGGUAGGCAGCGGGGUCUCCAUGCUGUCUUCCCAAGGUGGGCAUCCCGGGGUUGAAGGGAAAGUUGCCAGCUCCAGAUCCCAGAGUUGCUCUCCUGCCCUAAAAGUAUUCAUGUUCUGCAAACCAAAAAGGAUCUCAGACAGGUCUCAAUCAAUUUCGAAGUUUAAUUUGCCAAGGUUAAGGACAUACCUGGCACGUCCACAGGAACACACAUCCACUGAACAAUGUGUGUUCUGCGCCUUUUUCCAG